UUACACAGGGCAUGUGAAUUCCUUCUCACUCUGUCUCAUCACUUGAAGUUAAUCACCAUGUUCUUGGGAGAGGCCCUCUUGGGGUUCUCUCAGGUCUUCUAUCAAGAGCCCCCAAAAGAAUGAGGAAUCAAAACCUUCAGUGAGCAACCCUGAGAGUGAGUGGAAGAUUUGCAGGUUUGCAAACCCCACUUCAUAUGUUCAGAGACACUAAUCCAACUAUUUGGAAACAGCAAUCACUCUAUACACAUAAUGGAGCAAUUGGUUCUGGGAUCUUAACUCAGGGAGAAAAUGUUGUUGCAAUUUUUUGUGUCAAAAAAGUGCCAGAAAAGAAGAGUUCAAGUCUGUGAAAUAUAUUAUCAAAAAUUGAAGACAGCAUUACUGCCCAUUCCUGUACUCACUCCAUGAUGUGGACAUGCUUUUCAAAACAAAGCAGAGUCUUGAAUAUUGAGUAUACACACCUGUAAAAUACAGUGAGAGUCACUUUCAUUUUCAAGCAGCUAUAAUGUACCAGAAUCAUUUCUUAGUUAAGCAUCAUGUGUGGCUUGCUCCA